UUUUGGUGGUGCGUAUAACUUGCUCCUUUUCAGGAUUUUCUUUGCGUAUAUAAUGGAUACAGACUCGCCAUGUCUAACACACUGUCGGACUCGGCAACCAACUCGACGUGACCCAAACUCAGCCGAGUUUGGUUUGGACUUGUACGUGAACUAGCUUAGACAGGAAAAACGUAAACAUGCACUAGUGUCUCCUAUACAGACUCAACCUGGUUAACUACAACAUCAUACCUUGCUACAGGUGCGUUCUUUUUAGAACGAUAACUUGACCUGGGCGGUCAUGCCAAGCCUCUCGCUAAGGUCCUUCCAGAGUUUAACAUCUGGAUAAAGUGAUUCCUGAAACACCCUGCAGAUCAUGUUAAUGAGAAUUGAUUAGUACACAUCUUCCAUAGAUUAAAAACAUUGAUAAAUAAUGUAUUGUGCUUGAAGUUAUGAGCUUUGUUCUUCGCGAAGACGAUGAUAAUUGGCACACCUUGUCGUCAUUCUCUGCUCACUAUCUGUCUCUCCGUCGUUGUUGUUGCCAUGCUCUACAACAAUAGCACUAGCAUCAUCAGUGUUGCCCAUGUUGGAAGUGGCUCCAAACAGGCCAUGCAUCUCAUCACCAUCACCAUGGUUGUGUUGGAAUAGGUGGCUGUGUUCAGAGAAGAACCGAACCUAGCGCUCCGCUCCACUCCGCUAGCCACCCUGCCGGUAGCCACACCAGCUCCAAUGUCCAC
rnacentral:lncRNA from 1 species